rnacentral:rRNA from 1 species
CAGUCGCCGCGGGAAUACGUAGGGUGCGAGCGUUAAUCGGAAUUACUGGGCGUAAAGCGUGCGCAGGCGGUUCGUUAAGACAGAUGUGAAAUCCCCGGGCUUAACCUGGGAACUGCAUUUGUGACUGGCGAGCUAGAGUAUGGCAGAGGGGGGUAAAAUUCCACGUGUAGCAGUGAAAUGCGUAGAGAUGUGGAGGAAUACCGAUGGCGAAGGCAGCCCCCUGGGUCAAUACUGACGCUCAUGCACGAAAGCGUGGGGAGCAAACAGGAUUAGAUACCCCGGUAGUCCCUGUCUCUUAUAC